AAAUUGAAGAGUUUGAUCAUGGCUCAGAUUGAACGCUGGCGGCAGGCCUAACACAUGCAAGUCGAGCGGUAACACAGAGGAGCUCGCUCCUUGGGUGACGAGCGGCGGACGGGUGAGUAAUGCCUGGGGAUCUGCCCGAUAGAGGGGGAUAACUACGGG
rnacentral:rRNA from 1 species